GUUAUGUUAGUUUAAUAGAAAAAUGGUAGCUUGUGGUGCUGCGGAUAGUGUUGGAAUCACUACUUGGCC
rnacentral:tRNA from 1 species